ensembl:snRNA U6 U6 spliceosomal RNA
UUUUGGCCAUUUGAAAAUGGGUUUUUAUUGGAACAAUACAGAGAUUAGCAUGGCCCCGUACAAGGAUGACAAAUUCAUGCAGCAUUCCAUAUUUUU